GUGCAUAUCAGCUUUAAAACUAGGGGAACCUUCCUCUAAGACUAAAUAUGGUGUAUAAGCGAUAGCGAAGAGUACCGUGAGGGAAAUGGUUGAAAUAGCAACUUUAUAAGCAGCUCUAGUGGAAUCUGAUAGGGAAACCAGAGCGUACCUUUUGCAUAAUGGGUCAAGCAAGUUAAUACUUGAUGCGAGCAGCCUGAAUGAGAUUUUAGAGGGAGCGGAGAUCACAAACCCUUUACAGCUGCGAAGAUAAGACAAUUAUAAGAAUUAAUGAGGUAGUAUCAGGUAUUAGACCCGAAGCUUAGUGAUCUUACCAUGGCCAGGGCUAUAAAGGUUCGAAGGGGUUGCUGUUGCAGAAGCAUCCCAAGAGCUGUGGUAAGUUAGUGAAAGACAACACUGACUAAGAUAGCUGGUUUUCCGCGAAACCUAUAUUAGUAGGUAGUUUAAAUAGAAUAUCAGGAGGUACAGAAUUGUGAUCCCAUGCAACUAGCACUGCUUUUUGCGGACAUUGGGGGUUCGUGAAGAAUCUAUCAGUGGGAAUUUGCGCUCGGAAGGCCUAGAUAUGAAUAUUGAACAAUCAGACGUAACAUGACAAGGUGGUACGUCAAGAGGGAUAUAGCCCAGAACAAGAGUCAUAAGGUUCCUAAAUUGUUGUUAAGUGAAAUAAAGGUAGUUUUUAUCUUAAACGACCAGGAGGUAGGCUUAGCAUCGGUCAUCUUUUGAAAAACUCGUAAUAGAAUACUGGUUCUGCUUUAGGGCGUUUACGACUCUAAAGUUAGGAGGAAGCGCCGAAGAUUCAACGGAUCUAAAUAACAUACCGAGACCUUGUCCUAGUAUAACGAGGGGUUCCCCCCCAGCAUUAAGUUUUAGGCUUGAUGUGCUUUGAAAUGUAUUAGGGGUAGCGGAACGUUGGGGAAGUUUAUUACGAUGUCUUUCUAAGGCAUAUAUCCGACAACCCAAGCGAUAAUGCUGACAUGAGUAACGAUAAAGGGGUAACCCUCGCCUAAAGCUUAUGGAAUUGCUUUUGAAUGUUACGGCCUCUAAGCUAACCCCAAAAGGAGUAAGCGAUGAGCAAAUCUUAAGAGUUUACAGUACACAACGUCCCCCUUACGAAAUAGUGGGGGGGGGUUUAACACCAAGGGUUCUUAAAAGGAGCUAAGAGAGUUAAGCUUGUGACAGGCGUUCUGGAAAAAUGUAGACUCAGCAUCAGGGUGUUGCGGAGCAAUCAUAUACCUUAGCACCUGUAAAGGGCAAAUAAGCCAUAUGUCCUUCCCUGUUGCCUAGACCGUACCUAAAUACUAUCACAAGUAAGCGAGUAGAGUAUACGAAGGCGUUCGAGUGAACAAUUCAUUAAGGAACUCGGCAAAUUGACUCCGUAACUUCGGGAGAAGGUGGGCCGUCCCUGCUAAUUAAUAUUAGAUAAGGAAAGGAGGCACAGAAUGGUGUUGUACGACUGUUUAAUUAAAACAAAGCACACUGCAAAGAAAUAAAUUCGAAGUAUUGGGUGUGAUCUCUGCCCGAUGGCGGCUGGCUACCGGAUUUGCUUAGUUCACCAAUACAGGCUAGGCUUUGAAGGAACCCCCGUUCAAUGGCGGUCUUAACGAUGAGGAUCCUAAGGUAGCGGAAUACCCUGGCCGUUAAAUGCGGUCUUGCAUGAAUGAUGUAACGAUACAACAGCUGUCUCAAUGAUUGGCUCGGUGAAAUUGGAAUAGCAGUGCAGAUACUGUUUCCCUCUAGAUAGACGAGAAGACCCUAUGCAGCUUUACUGUUGCUAGUUACCGAGUAUGAUGCGCUGGGUUUUAGUGUAUAAGGUAAUCGGUAAGAUAGAAUUGAAACACCUUUACUUCAGCUUUCAUAUUAUAUAUACCCUACCACCCAGAAUGGAUUGGCCUAGUUAGGUCAUUCCUUAGAUGUCAUCUUAGAACAUGAGUCUACUGGGUUAGAGACAAAGGUAGAUGAACAAUUGCUAGGUGGCAGUUUAUGCGGGGCACAGAUCCCAUAAAAAGUACCUGGGAGUAACCUAAAUCAAUUUUGUAAUAAGACUACUCGCCAGCAGCCCCUUACGGGCGCUAUAAAAUACGAGGAAAGAAUGCUUUUGCUUCUUGUUUCUUAUUAACAUGAGUUUGGUCUUAUUUUCAGGCUAAUCCAGUUAUAGAUUCAUUUAAGUUGAAACUUAUUCUUUAAACCCAGUAAGAUUUUACCUUCGCUUAAACGAAGAUGUAGCCAGAUCCAUUUAGGGUUGAAGCCUAUCAUGCUUGCUGAUAUGUAAGCACAAGAGGGCAUCCCUUAAAAGGAUCUUAAUUGUUUAACUUUCUUGCUGUAUUUUUAAAAAAAAAAAUAGACGCGGAGGCCAAAUGAUACUAACUCUACUCACCAGGUUUAACGGCAUAAUCUUGCUUUACUGUAUGACCUACACGUCUACCAGUCGCGUAAGCGGGGCAUAAGAUCACAAGAUGCAGAAAGGAAAGGUCUUGGAUUGUUGAAAAAGCUACGCUAGGGAUAACGCUUAGUCCUCUUGUAUAGAAAUAUACAUAGCUUUUAAAUAGGAUUAAUUUCAAGGACACUUUAGACAGUCAACUUGAAGCGAAGCUUGGUCCUACCGGAUCAGGAACGUUUAACGACUAGAAGGUGAGUUAUGGUUAACUAGAAUCCUUCCACGAAAAUUCUACAUCUUAUAAGCAGGAAUUAUGACCUUGCUUUGCGAAGCGGGUGGAUAUCCUCCCUGCUGAUAUGGUAAUUCGCAAGCAGAGCAAGUAUAUAAAGGCUAUGAUGAAGACAUAGUCUGAGCCGUCUUGGGAGAGAUGGAAGUAAAAGAUAAAGAGCUUUUACGAUUAACAUACUGAACAGGCUAAUUGCGCCAGAGAGUUCAAAUUGAGUGCGCAGUUUGGCACCUCGAUGUCGGCUUAGAUUAACCUCGGGGAUGCAGUAGCCUCAAAGGGUCCGACUGUUCGUCGGUUAAAAAUCUACACGAGCUGGGUUAAGUACGUCUGUAAGACAGUACGGUUUCUAUCUUCUAGAGGUAGUAGAAUAAAAUAAGAUUAGCCCCUUGUACGAAAGGAGAUGGGUAUAUUAACCUAUUGUUUACCUGUUGUUU
rnacentral:rRNA from 1 species